rnacentral:rRNA from 1 species
CAGGGAAUCUUGCACAAUGGGCGAAAGCCUGAUGCAGCGACGCCGCGUGGGGGAUGAAGGCCUUAGGGUCGUAAACCCCUUUCAGCAGGGACGAAGAUGACGGUACCUGCAGAAGAAGCCCCGGCCAACUACGUGCCAGCAGCCGCGGUAAGACGUAGGGGGCGAGCGUUGUCCGGAUUUAUUGGGCGUAAAGAGCUCGUAGGCGGUUGCGUAAGUCGGAUGUGAAAACUCAGGGCUCAACCCUGAGACGCCAUCCGAUACUGCGCUGACUUGAAUCCAGUAGGGGAGUGCGGAAUUCCUGGUGUAGCGGUGAAAUGCGCAGAUAUCAGGAGGAACACCCAUGGCGAAGGCAGCACUCUGGGCUGGUAUUGACGCUGAGGAGCGAAAGCAUGGGUAGCGAACAGGAUUAGAUACCCAAGUAGUCCCUGAGCGGGCUGGCAAGGCGCAU